rnacentral:rRNA from 1 species
AUGCAUCAUCCCUCGCCGUUCCUCCUCCUCCUCCUCCUCGCCGCCUUGCCUCUGGUCGCCACCGCGACGACGUUCGACUGCGUCGGCGGAGUUUACAAGGCCAACAGCACCUACGAGGCCAACCUCCGCCGCCUGGCCGCCGUGCUCCCGGCCGAGACCGCCGCCUCCCAGAGCCUCCAGGCGACCCGCGGCGUGGGGUACUGGCCCAACCGGCCACGAGCCUCCUCACAGUGCUACUGGGGCGUCAGCUCUUCGUCCUGCGCCGCCUGCGUCGCCGGCGCCUUCCGGGAGGCGGAGAGGGCGUGCCCGCACGGCAAGAAGGCGGCCGUCUUCGCCCGCAACUGCACCCUCAGCCUCGCCGAUUUUCCUAGAGCUCUCGGCUUCCGCACCAUCAGUUGGCUUGACCUCUUGGGUCCGGGACUCAUAUUUCAAGCAAUUGGAUUUGCAUGGCUUUUCUUCCUGCUUCUGCAAGAAUGGCGUGAUAAAAGAAGAGCCUCUAUGAUGCGUUGUAGCUCUCUUCCGUCUGAAGAUCAGUAG